rnacentral:rRNA from 1 species
AAAAGCUAAUAAGGGCACACGGAGGAUGCCUAGGCAGCAACAGCCGAUGAAGGACGUGAUAAGCUGCGAUAAGCCGGGAGAAGAUGCACAUAAUCAUUGAUCCCCGGAUUUCCGAAUGGGUAAACCUGCAUGCCUGGAGGGCAUGCGUGAAAACGGCAAGCCUGCGAACUGAAACAUCUAAGUAGCAGGAGGAAAAGAAAGUAAAAACGAUUCCCCAAGUAGCGGCGAGCGAACAGGGAAAAGCCUAAACCGUGCCAGUGUCAAGCGGACAGCGUUGCUGGCACGGGGUUGCGGGACUUCCAUUAACGGAUUGUCAUAAUGUUUAAUCUGCAUAUGUGUAAGUGGAACCAGUUGGGAAGCUGGACCGAAGAAGGUGAAAGUCCUGUAGAACAUAAAGCAUAUGUGGAGACUGGAAGCACCCGAGUAGCGUCAGGCACGAGGAAUCUGGCGUGAAUCAGCGUGGACCAAAUCACGUAAGGCUAAAUACUGUUGUUGACCGAUAGUGAAGAGUACCGUGAGGGAAAGGUGAAAAGAACCCUGAGCAAGGGAGUGAAACAGAAUUUGAAACCGUGUGCUUACAAACGGUAGGAGCACAUUAUGUGUGACUGCGUGGAUUUUGGUUAAUCAUCCUGCGAGUUAUGGCUGGUGGCAAGGUUAAUAGACGGAGCCGAAGGGAAACCAAGUCUUAACAGGGCGACAAGUCGCCAGCCAUAGACGCGAAACCUAGUGAUCUAGGCCUGUCCAGGCUGAAGCUGAGGUAAGACUCAGUGGAGGGCCGAACUCACCGCCGUUGAAAAGUUGGGAGAUGAGAUAGGUCUAGGGGUGAAAAGCCAAUCGAACUAGGAGAUAGCUCGUUCUCUCCGAAAUGCAUUUAGGUGCAGCCUUGAACUGAGAUAUGUGGGGGUAGAGCUCUGUAUGAUCUAGGGGGCGUACUGCUUACCGAAAUCAAGCAAACUGCGAAUACCAUAUAUCAUGUUCAGGAGUGAGUCCGUGGAUGACAAGGUCCUCGGACGAGAGGGGAACAGCCCAGACCGCCAGCUAAGGUCCCUAAUUAUGUCUAAGUGGGAAAGGAGGUGGACAUUCAUAGACAACCAGGAGGUUGGCUUAGAAGCAGCCAUGCCUUGAAAGAGUGCGUAAUAGCUCACUGGUCGAGAGUGCCUGCGCCGAAGAUGUAACGGGGCUAAGACAUAAACCGAAGCUGCGGAAGAUACACUGUAUCUUGGUAGGAGAGCGUUCUGUAGGCCGUCGAAGGGAUGCCGCAAGGCCGUCCUGGAGGUAUCAGAAGCGAGAAUGCAGGAAUGAGUAGCGAGAAGGCGGGCGAGAAUCCCGCCGGCCGGAAGUCCAAGGUUUCCAGGGGAAGGUUUGUCCGCCCUGGGGAAGUCGGGACCUAAGCAUAAGCAAAAUUGUGAUGGCGAAUGGAAAACAGGUUAAUAUUCCUGUACCGCUGUUAUCGCUUGAGAGACGGAGUGACGCAGGAAGGUAUGCGAGAAGGCUGACGGUUUAGCCUUUCUAAGGGCCCAGCGUGGGCGUGCAGGCAAAUCCGCACGCCUAAACGUGAGACCUGACGGGGAAGUGCAUUUGCAUAAGUCGCAGAUCCUACACUGCCAAGAAAAACUUCUAUCGAUGAGAACCAGCGCCCGUACUGUAAACCGACACAGGUGGACAGAGUGAGAAACUUAAGGCCGACAGGAUAACUCUAGCUAAGGAACUCUGCAAAAUAGCCCCGUAACUUCGGGAGAAGGGGUGCCUGACAUACCUGAAGGAGAGAAGCGCUCCCAGGGGAAACAGGCCGCAGUGAAGAGUCUCAAGCAACUGUUUACCAAAAACACAGGUCUAUGCUAAGCUGAAAGGCGACGUAUAUGGGCUGACACCUGCCCAGUGCCGGAAGGUUAAGAGGAGGAGUGAGAGCUCCGAUUUGAAGCCCCGGUGAACGGCGGCCGUAACUAUAACGGUCCUAAGGUAGCGAAAUUCCUUGUCGGGUAA